rnacentral:tRNA from 1 species
AGAGUAUUAAAAAUAGAUUUCUAAUCUUUAAAAAGUUAUAUAACUAUACUCUU